rnacentral:tRNA from 1 species
GAGGGGAUAACGAAGUGGUCAAACGUGAUGGGUUUAGGACCCAUUGGCUUAGUGCCUUCCGGGGUUCGAAUCCUCGUCCCCUCA